GCAGACUCUUGAGUUUAGUAGUGAUACUAAGGGCACUAUUGAGUGAGUAGGGAGCUGCCAAAUAGAAUCAACUCCUGUAACAGAUGCUCUCAGUUGAAAGAAGUAAAUGCAAAACUGUAAGAGAAAUAACUUUCCAGCACAGAAGCCUCGAGGCCCUUGAGGAUAGAUGAUGCCAGAAAAAUGUGAGAUUAUUGUGCCUGCCAGAGUAUAUUAAUACUAUAAAUAUAGCUAAUUUCCUGAGGAACAAGAUCCUUGAAAAUGUACCAGAUGUAUGAUGCUGAAUAUCAAGUCAAACAGCAGAGACAGAAUGAAUCUCCAUCUUCAUUAAAGUUAGAGAUUGCCAUCCAGUAGUUCAAGAGCUGUAUGUUCAGUUCCUGUCACAUAAUUAGAAAUAUCUGUUUAUCUGAAGUUACGAUGGGAUGUGAUACGACAGUGCGAAUUUGAUUGGUCAUGGCUUAGACAGAGACCAUGGUGACAUCUGGAAGUUCUGACCAAAAGCCUCAGCGAUACCUGGUGAUUUGUGGAGAGGGAUGCUGUGGACACAAGCAUUGCUUCCAGGAUAUUCUAAUGACAGUGCGUGUUAGAAAAAUGCCUGGUGGCUCCACCACUACUCAUGGUAGUUCAAGAAGGAGAGAGAGACAGACACAGACACAGAGACAUGGAGAGACUGAGGUUCACAGCCUGAGUCCUGCCACUGCCCAGGUCCAUAACCUUUAGGAGGUCACACACAAAGACAUAUUCAAUUAUUGCAUUCGGUGGUAGUAAACUUUUGACCAACUCUCAGCAAUCCAUGAUGUGUGCGAUGGGAGUGCUUAAUAAAUGCUGAGCCUAGCUUCCAAAGCACCCAGGCUCCUCCUGGAUUCUAAUUUCCUCCCUUCUGGAAAAUUAACAAAGGAAAAACAAUUCAAAUGAAACACAGUCUUGUGACUUUAAUGCUCAUCAAACAAUUUGCUGGUAAGAGGAGUCUAGUUCUAAGAUAAAUCGCUGGUGUGACAGCUCUCUAAUUGAUCAAUUGACCUCUUGACAGAAUCCAAGGAAGAAAUAUACCCUCCUUCAAAUAUACGUUCAGAGUUUCCAUGGCAUUUUC